rnacentral:rRNA from 1 species
GACAGAGGGUGCAAACGUUUGUUCGGAAUUACUGGGCGUAAAGCGCGUGUAGGCGGCUCGGCAAGUCGGAUGUGAAAGCCCUGGGCUCAACCUAGGAAGUGCAUUCGAAACUGCAGAGCUUGAGUUCUGGAGAGGAAGGCGGAAUUCUCGGUGUAGAGGUGAAAUUCGUAGAUAUCGAGAGGAACACCUGUGGCGAAGGCGGCCUUCUGGACAGUGACUGACGCUGAGACGCGAAAGCGUGGGGAGCGAACAGG